rnacentral:snRNA from 1 species
UGCUUGCUUCAGCAGCACUAUACUAAAGUUGGAAUGAUACAGAGAAGAUUAUCAUAGCCCCUGCACAAGGAUGNAAUGCAAAUUCGUGAAGUAUUCCAUACUUUU